rnacentral:rRNA from 1 species
CCGGGGCUAAUACCGAAUAAUCUAUGUCACCUCAUGGUGACAUACUGAAAGACGGUUUCGGCUGUCGCUAUAGGAUGGGCCCGCGGCGCAUUAGCUAGUUGGUGAGGUAAUGGCUCACCAAGGCGACGAUGCGUAGCCGACCUGAGAGGGUGAUCGGCCACACUGGGACUGAGACACGGCCCAGACUCCUACGGGAGGCAGCAGUAGGGAAUCUUCCACAAUGGGCGAAAGCCUGAUGGAGCAACGCCGCGUGAGUGAAGAAGGUUUUCGGAUCGUAAAACUCUGUUGUAAGGGAAGAACAAGUACAGUAGUAACUGGCUGUACCUUGACGGUACCUUAUUAGAAAGCCACGGCUAACUACGUGCCAGCAGC